rnacentral:rRNA from 1 species
UUCCACCUGGGGAGUACGCCGGCAACGGUGAAACUCAAAGGAAUUGACGGGGGCCCGCACAAGCGGAGGAACAUGUGGUUUAAUUCGAUGAUACGCGAGGAACCUUACCCGGGCUCAAACGACGGAUGGAUGUUUCUGAAAGGAGGCAGUCCUACGGGACAUCCGUCGAGGUGCUGCAUGGUUGUCGUCAGCUCGUGCCGUGAGGUGUCGGCUUAAGUGCCAUAACGAGCGCAACCCCCAUCGCCAGUUACCAGCAAGUAAAGUUGGGGACUCUGGCGAGACUGCCGGCGCAAGCUGUGAGGAAGGCGGGGAUGACGUCAAAUCAGCACGGCCCUUACGUCCGGGGCGACACACGUGUUACAAUGGCAGGUACAGAGAGAUGCGAUGUGGCGACGCAGAGCGGAACUUCAAAGCCUGUCUCAGUUCGGAUUGGAGUCUGCAACCCGACUCCAUGAAGCUGGAUUCGCUAGUAAUCGCGCAUCAGCCACGGCGCGGUGAAU